rnacentral:rRNA from 1 species
UACGGGGGGAGCAAGCGUUGUCCGGAAUUAUUGGGCGUAAAGAGCUCGUAGGCGGUGUGUCGCGUCGGCCGUGAAACCUGCAGCUUAACUGUGGGCGUGCGGUCGAUACGGGCAUCACUGGAGUUCGGCAGGGGAGACUGGAAUUCCUGGUGUAGCGGUGAAAUGCGCAGAUAUCAGGAGGAACACCUGCGGCGAAGGCGGGUUGCUGGGCUGACACUGACGCUGAUGCGCGAAGCUAGGGAGCGAACGG